rnacentral:tRNA from 1 species
GCGGUCGUGGCGGAAUGGCAGACGCGCACGCUUGAGGGGCGUGUGGGGUUUCCCCGUGGAAGUUCGAGUCUUCUCGACCGCA